rnacentral:lncRNA from 1 species
CUUGCCCAGGCAAAGAGUGGAGAAGCUUUUAUAGGAAAGCUGUAAAAGCAAGCAGGGUUGACCUGGGCACUCCCCCAGUUCCCAUGAGUCUGGGGCCCACGACUGGCUCAUCGAUUGCUUGAACAAGCACACAUCAGAGACAUCCAGAUCAGAAUGGAAGCUGCUCAAGGCUCAGAUGAUCCCUGAGCCACCAACGUUAUCCUGGAGGUUCUUAUCACAGAGUAUGGGAAAUGCCAUACUGGGCUGUGGGUUUGCAGAAAUCCUCCAAAAGAUGCAGAAACAAGUCCAGCUGAAAAUGGAAUGCUUCCUGAUGGCUCAUUUUGUUCCAGCCUCAACCCAAAGGAAUCCUCUGACACCACCAAGCAUCCUGCCCACUCCUCCUUCCUGAGCGCUCAACUUCCUUCUGAUCUAUUGUCGGCUUUUCCUUGCCUGAGCUCUGUGAUCUAACCAGAACCCAACGGAACCUAUAGAGAGUCCAAUCCUUGCCCGACAGCCCUGAGCCAGGCCCAUAGCUGCCUAGCCUACAGCACUGGGGGCAGAGGGAGGUCCUCUGGAUUAUGGCACAGGGGGAAGUUGCAGGAAAAACUCCCCACAAAUUAGCACCAUCUACAAUUGACCAACAAAGUGCAGAUACUUCUCAGCAUUCAAAGCCUAAACAAUCAGGAUGGAGACGUAUAAAGCAUUCAAUGCUUCACGUUGGCAGGACGAUACCAGGUAUUUCACUGACAGGUGAAAUAGCAGAGUGACGGGACAGAGUGAUCAAGGCAGAGUGAUCUAAAGGACACAGUAGUACUUCUUUAGGACCCUGGCAGAAUGGAAGAGAGCAUCUGGCUUCUAAGGCACUGCACAAACUUGAAUGAUCUUCUUCAGAAUUGACAAGGAAAGGCCAUGUUAUGUUCACCCUGGGUUAAGUUUUAAGUGUAUCUUAUUUAAUUUUUUUCAAUAUGAGUCAUCUCCAGAUACUGUGAUGAUUUCCAAAUAACCAGAAUCUAGAUGACUAGAAAUUUACUCUAGCUGGCUUUAGACAGGAAGCGUGAGGACAGAAUCCAGCUGCUUCCACUCCAGGGUAGGUCUGAAGCCAACCGUCCUCGGUUUCCUGGCCUGUGGCAUCAGUCUGGUUGGAUUACACACAAAGCCCUGCAGAUCUGCUGCUUUUCCUGAUUCUCCUGUCCUGAGUGAGUGCAAGGGGCUCCCCUGUCGUCGAUGUGUUCUUUGAAGCAGAUGCUGUGCCUGAUACCUGCUGGAGAGUCCCACCGCCUUGAGCUUCUGGGUCGAGAAAGGCCAAGUUGCACACUACUGAGAGACUGCCAUGCACCCCCUGGAGGCCUCAGAACAUUCGACAUGCUUCAGUCAUGGCCACGGCAGUGACUGCUGAUUGCCUAACCCCACAUGUGUUCUCCCCCUUCCCUGAUAAUCAAGCCCCUGAUUUUCAGCUGGGCACAAAAUAAUUCUUCCUAGAACAACUCCAUGUGUGUUAUCGCCCUUGCAGCUGGGGGUGGCCACCACUGGGGAGAGGCAGGGUGAAGAGGUGGAAGGAGCCUGAGUUAGCAGGGAUGAGCAGUGGCCAGGUAACCCCAGACCCACUAUCCUCUGGAUUUCUUUUAUGUGAAACAAUAAAAUGUCUUGUAUUCGAGCCU